CUGUGAGCUCGAUGAGUAGGGCGGGACACGUGGUAUCCUGUCUGAAUAUGGGGGGACCAUCCUCCAAGGCUAAAUACUCCUGACUGACCGAUAGUGAACCAGUACCGUGAGGGAAAGGCGAAAAGAACCCCGGCGAGGGGAGUGAAAAAGAACCUGAAACCGUGUACGUACAAGCAGUGGGAGCACAGAGCAAUCUGUGUGACUGCGUACCUUUUGUAUAAUGGGUCAGCGACUUAUAUUCUGUAGCAAGGUUAACCGAAUAGGGGAGCCGAAGGGAAACCGAGUCUUAACUGGGCGUUAAGUUGCAGGGUAUAGACCCGAAACCCGGUGAUCUAGCCAUGGGCAGGUUGAAGGUUGGGUAACACUAACUGGAGGACCGAACCGACUAAUGUUGAAAAAUUAGCGGAUGACUUGUGGCUGGGGGUGAAAGGCCAAUCAAACCGGGAGAUAGCUGGUUCUCCCCGAAAGCUAUUUAGGUAGCGCCUCGUGAAUUCAUCUCCGGGGGUAGAGCACUGUUUCGGCAAGGGGGUCAUCCCGACUUACCAACCCGAUGCAAACUGCGAAUACCGGAGAAUGUUAUCACGGGAGACACACGGCGGGUGCUAACGUCCGUCGUGAAGAGGGAAACAACCCAGACCGCCAGCUAAGGUCCCAAAGUCAUGGUUAAGUGGGAAACGAUGUGGGAAGGCCCAGACAGCCAGGAUGUUGGCUUAGAAGCAGCCAUCAUUUAAAGAAAGCGUAAUAGCUCACUGGUCGAGUCGGCCUGCGCGGAAGAUGUAACGGGGCUAAACCAUGCACCGAAGCUGCGGCAGCGACGCUUAUGCGUUGUUGGGUAGGGGAGCGUUCUGUAAGCCUGCGAAGGUGUGCUGUGAGGCAUGCUGGAGGUAUCAGAAGUGCGAAUGCUGACAUAAGUAACGAUAAAGCGGGUGAAAAGCCCGCUCGCCGGAAGACCAAGGGUUCCUGUCCAACGUUAAUCGGGGCAGGGUGAGUCGACCCCUAAGGCGAGGCCGAAAGGCGUAGUCGAUGGGAAACAGGUUAAUAUUCCUGUACUUGGUGUUACUGCGAAGGGGGGACGGAGAAGGCUAUGUUGGCCGGGCGACGGUUGUCCCGGUUUAAGCGUGUAGGCUGGUUUUCCAGGCAAAUCCGGAAAAUCAAGGCUGAGGCGUGAUGACGAGGCACUACGGUGCUGAAGCAACAAAUGCCCUGCUUCCAGGAAAAGCCUCUAAGCAUCAGGUAACAUCAAAUCGUACCCCAAACCGACACAGGUGGUCAGGUAGAGAAUACCAAGGCGCUUGAGAGAACUCGGGUGAAGGAACUAGGCAAAAUGGUGCCGUAACUUCGGGAGAAGGCACGCUGAUAUGUAGGUGAAGUCCCUCGCGGAUGGAGCUGAAAUCAGUCGAAGAUACCAGCUGGCUGCAACUGUUUAUUAAAAACACAGCACUGUGCAAACACGAAAGUGGACGUAUACGGUGUGACGCCUGCCCGGUGCCGGAAGGUUAAUUGAUGGGGUCAGCGCAAGCGAAGCUCUUGAUCGAAGCCCCGGUAAACGGCGGCCGUAACUAUAACGGUCCUAAGGUAGCGAAAUUCCUUGUCGGGUAAGUUCCGACCUGCACGAAUGGCGUAAUGAUGGCCAGGCUGUCUCCACCCGAGACUCAGUGAAAUUGAACUCGCUGUGAAGAUGCAGUGUACCCGCGGCAAGACGGAAAGACCCCGUGAACCUUUACUAUAGCUUGACACUGAACAUUGAGCCUUGAUGUGUAGGAUAGGUGGGAGGCUU
rnacentral:rRNA from 1 species